GGAUUAGUCCUUCCUGCUCUGUUUUUCAAUAGGAGUUCAUCUCAGGUUUGAUCAAUCGGCCAUAACUCUAAUCAUUGUCAAAAUGUAUGGAGAUGACGUUUACAGAUUUAUCGUCCCUGAUGCGUAUUUACGUGUUCGGUUGCAGAGGGAGAGAAAGCAAACUAUUUCAAAAAUUAAUGCAUUGUAAAGUCACUAUAUAAUUGAUAAGAUAAGAGAUUAAAUGUUUGAACACGU
rnacentral:sRNA from 1 species